GGGUGGAUCUGCCCUGCACUUCGGGAUAAGACCUGGGAAACUGGGUCAAAUACCGGAUAGGAGCCAUUUUUAGUGUGAUGGUUGGAAAGUUUUUCGGUGUAGGAUGAGCUCGCGGCCUAUCAGCUUGUUGGUGGGGUAAUGGCCUACCAAGGCGGCGACGGGUAGCCGGCCUGAGAGGGUGGACGGCCACAUUGGGACUGAGAUACGGCCCAG
rnacentral:rRNA from 1 species